GGUAUCGCCGUUAGUCAUGUGCAAAUAUGGAUAGCUGUUUUAGCCGUCUUUAUUGACUGGUUUAUAAGAGUUAUCAGAUAUCACUUUGAUUAAAUUAGAGUGCUUAAAGCAAGUGUGUUACUUGGAUAUAAAUGCAUGGAAUGAUGGAAUAUGUUGUUAUUCUAUUUGUUGGUUUUUGAAUGAUAAAAUGAUUGAAAGGAGCUGUUGGGGGCAUUCGUAUUGUUGUGAGAGAGGUGAAAUUCUUAGACCACAGCAAGACGAACUACUGCGAAAGCAUUUGCCAAGAAUGUUUUCAUUGAUCAAGAACGAAAGUUAGAGGUUCGAAGGCGAUCAGAUACCGCCCUAGUUCUAACCAUAAACUAUGCCAACUAGCAAUUUGCUUUGUAUUUUUUAUGACUAAGUGAGAGGCCACGGGAAACCUAAGUAGGGUUAUGGGGGAAGUAUGGUUGCAAAGCUGAAACUUAAAGGAAUUGACGGAAGGGCACCACCAGGAGUGGAGCCUGCGGCUUAAUUUGACUCAACACGGGAAAACUUACCUGGUCCUGACACUAGAAGGAUUGACAGAUUGAUAGCUCUUUCUUGAUUUGGUGGAUGGUGGUGCAUGGCCGUUCUUAGUUGGUGGAGUGAUUUGUCUGGUUAAUUCCGAUAACGAACGAGACUCUAGCCUAUUAAAUAAUACACGGCAUUUUAUCUUCCGCGGUAUUUCUUAGUGGGAUCAAGCG
rnacentral:rRNA from 1 species